GGCAACGGAUAUGGGCCCGACGAUACCUUCUCCGUUGAUGGUGCUAGUGACGGCGACGAUGAUCUCUCCGACCGCGACGGAGGGGGAAAGUGGGCACACAUUAGUGAGAGAGAGGAAGGAAGCGAGGGAAGGAGGCGAUAUUGUAUAGCAAAAGAUAAGAGAUAGAGAAUUGAUGAAUAGAUUGAAAAUAAAGAACUGAAAGUUCGGUGGAGAAAAGGAAAAGGGCUAUGAUGAAUAAUUGGAGAUAGAGAGUUUAGGAUUGUAGAUAGUAGUGGGACUAUUUAAAUAUACUAAUUGAAAGUUUGGUAGUGGGACCGUUUGCAUUAAUUAAAAGUAUAGUAAAGGGAGGGAAAGGGUUAUGAUGAAUACUUGUAGAUAGAAAUGAUAGAAUUGUAGAUGGUAGUGGACUAUUUAAAUGCACUAAUUGAAAGUUUGGUUAGUGGGACUGUUAAACUGCAUAUUGAAUGUUUAGCGAAUGGAAGAAGAAGGGUCACAUGCUAGUGAGGGUGAAAGAGAACUUGCCACGUGACAACAAAUAUUGAGAAUUCAUAUAGGUUAAUAGAUAGUAUACUUUUUGUGCAAGUAGGAUACUAUUUGUGAA
rnacentral:lncRNA from 1 species